ensembl:lncRNA
AUUUGAAUUGCUCUGAAGUGCGGAAACACCAGAAAUGGUUCAUGCUGGCUUAACAGAAAAAUCAAAAGGAGAUGAUGUGCUUGAAGAGUAUGAAGCCACCAAUAUAUGAUUGUCCAACCUCAACGCAGAGAGAUCAGUAUGCACUUGGAAUUGUGACUGUCUCUGUCGUUAGAAGACCCAUUUUCUAGGGAAGGUGUGUGAUGCUGCAAAUAGGAGUGGAUAUCUUGCUUGGCUGAAAACUGCUGAGAAACGCAUCUUGUCGUGCUGAAAAAAAAGAAGUCUAGAAGAAAGAAAAAGACUAUUCUCUCCAAGGAGGUCCAAACACCAUCACAGACAUUGAUUAGUGAGCCUUAACAUGUAUUCUGCAUUUAUGGUAAUGAAUGGAAUGCUGUUGUUUAACCUGAUAAAUGUCAGCAUUAUAAAUCUUAUGACAUUAAGAGUACAUAUGGACCAAAUAAGAAUGUUUUUUGUGUCUUUGCACUGAUUUGCUUUGACAUUAUGAUGUUUAAUUGUUGUAAGGCCAUGCUCUUUACAUUGAAUUUUAGAAUUUUAGAUUUAGAAUUUAUUUAUUUGUUUUUAUUUUGAAUUGCUUUGAAUUGAAACAUUGAAAGUGAAGACAUUUUGGUGCAGGGAAAAAAAUUACAAUGUUUCAAUAAAAUAAAUAAAUGUAAACAUUUAUUGUUUUGUGGGUUUAUUUUUUAAUAUUUUCACCUGAACACUGGGGCAG